AGAAGAUAGAGCAAGGUGAUUUCUAAAGACUUCCCACUCUCAUGUUCUAUGGUCCUAUGAUUCCAUGAGUCAGGAGUAUCUUAGGGUGAGGAAAAACUGUCUAACCUUCAGCCUACAAUUCUCAUCAAGGAACUACUUUAGGGACUCCCAAUUCUUUAUGGCUGUCUCUUACAUUUUCAUUCCUGGAUUCUUGGGAAGAAUAGAGUCCAGUCAUAUCUGGAGACUCAGGUUGGGUUUGACAUCUAAGAAAGCUUGGGUCUUCCAUCUAACUUCUCUAUCCUUCAAUCUUUUCUAUGAUACCACCCUUCCAGAAGUCCUCUAUGUAGAUGCCAACCUUGGUGUUGCUGAAUGAAUCCACAGCCCUGAGGAGCUGAAAUUCUAGGCACAGGCCUAGUUGGAACUGCUUCUGAUGGGAGUUUAUGUGUAUCUCAGAGGAGAAGUCUUAUGAACUUGGGUUUGAUAUGCCCAGAAAUGGAUCCAUAGCAACUUCCAGGAGAAGAUAGUCACACCAGACAAUUCAACCAAUUUUUGGUGGUUGCACCUGGACACUGAAGCCACCGUUUUCCAGAUUGUUUGCUUGGUUGUUUCCUCUGCCAGAUAUCUAUGUUUAUUGUUCUACCCUGAGGCUCAUCAUCUCAGGAAUCAGUGAAAUGUCUCCAAGAAUGGAUGGAACAGAUGUUGGGCAUGAGGCUGAGACACGCCCUGGAAGGUAA